GACGAACGCUGGCGGCGUGCUUAACACAUGCAAGUCGAACGGAAAGGCCCUGCUUUUGUUUGUUUCUCGAUUGGCGAACGGGUGAGUAACACGUGAGUAACCUGCCCUUGACUUUGGGAUAACUUCAGGAAACUGGGGCUAAUACCGGAUAGGAUCUCCUGCUGCAUGGUGGUGGUUGGAAAGUUUCGGCGGUUGGGGAUCGACUCGCGGGUUAUCAGCUUGUUGGUGGGGUAGUUGCUUACCAAGGCUUUGACGGGUAGCCGGCCUGAGAGGGUGACCGGCCACAUUGGGACUGAGAUACGGCCCAGACUCCUACGGGAGGCAGCAGUGGGGAAUAUUGCACAAUGGGGGGAAGCCUGAUGCAGCAACGCCGCGUGCGGGAUGACGGCCUUCGGGUGGUAAACAGCUUUCGCCUGUGACGAAGCGUGAGUGACGGUAAUGGGUAAAGAAGCACCGGCUAACUACGUG
rnacentral:rRNA from 1 species